rnacentral:rRNA from 1 species
AACGUACGCUGGCGGCACGCCUAACACAUGCAAGUCGAACGAAGUAGCAAUACUUAGUGGCAGACGGGUGAGUAACAUGUAGGUAUCUGCCCUUUGGCCUGGAAUAACACGAGGAAACUUGUGCUAAUACCGGAUAAGUCUUUACGGAGAAAGCUUUAUGCACCAUUGGAUGAGCCUGCACUUGAUUAGUUUGUUGGUAGGGUAAUGGCCUACCAAGACUGUGAUCAAUAGCUGAUUUGAGAGGAUGAUCAGCCACAUUGGGACUGAGACACGGCCCAAACUCCUACGGGAGGCAGCAGUGGGGAAUCUUGCACAAUGGAGGAAACUCUGAUGCAGCGAUGCCGCGUGAGUGAAGAAGGCCUUUGGGUUGUAAAGCUCUUUCGUCGGGGAAGAAAAUGACUGUACCCGAAUAAGAAGGUCCGGCUAACUUCGUGCCAGCAGCCGCGGUAAUACGAAGGGACCUAGCGUAGUUCGGAAUUACUGGGCUUAAAGAGUUCGUAGGUGGUUGAAAAAGUUGGUGGUGAAAUCCCAGAGCUUAACUCUGGAACUGCCAUCAAAACUUUUCAGCUAGAGUUUGAUAGAGGAAAGCAGAAUUUCUAGUGUAGAGGUGAAAUUCGUAGAUAUUAGAAAGAAUACCAAUUGCGAAGGCAGCUUUCUGGAUCAUUACUGACACUGAGGAACGAAAGCAUGGGUAGCGAAGAGGAUUAGAUACCCUCGUAGUCCAUGCCGUAAACGAUGUGUGUUAGACGUUGGAAAUUUAUUUUCAGUGUCGCAGCGAAAGCGAUAAACACACCGCCUGGGGAGUACGACCGCAAGGUUAAAACUCAAAUGAAUUGACGGGGACCCGCACAAGUAGUGGAGCAUGUGGUUUAAUUCGAAGAUACGCGCAGAACCUUACCAACACUUGACAUGUUCGUCGCGACUCUAAGAGAUUAGAGUUUUCGGUUCGGCCGGACGAAACACAGGUGCUGCAUGGCUGUCGUCAGCUCGUGUCGUGAGAUGUUGGGUUAAGUCCCGCAACGAGCGCAACCCUCACUUUUAGUUGCCAUCAUUAAGUUGGGCACUCUGAAAGAACUGCCGGUGAUAAGCUGGAGGAAGGUGGGGAUGACGUCAAGUCCUCAUGGCCCUUACGUGUUGGGCUACACACGUGCUACAAUGGUAUCUACAACAGGAAGCAAGACUGCGAAGUUAAGCAAAUCCCUAAAAGAUACCUCAGUUCGGAUUGCACUCUGCAACUCGAGUGCAUGAAGCUGGAAUUACUAGUAAUCGUGGAUCAGCGUGCCACGGUGAAUGCGUUCCCGGGUCU